UGGUGUUGCGCCUGCGCUAUAGACCUCCCUGCCGGAAGUGGGCGGACCGCGUUCCAAAGCCUAAAGGGCGGAGGGAGAAAGCGCGGCAAAGAUCUGUGUUGCUGAAUGGAACGCUGAAUCCGGACACUGCCUCAGGUGCCCUGCUGCAGAACUACUGAGCCUAGAAAUGUAAAGACCAGAAUAUGGUCAGAGAGAACUUACUUUUCGAUUUUAAAAAGAAGACUUAAGGAGUCAAAGAGAUAUUUGAAUGCCUAUAUGCCCAGUUGGAGAACAAGUAUUCUGGCCAAAAACAAAAAACCAGAGUAUGUUCUCAACCACAGAAACGUUCGUCCCUAGUCAGGAAACCAUUAGGAAGAUACAUUAAAUAAGAGCCGGAAAAGAAAGAAAUCUGCAUCAAGGGGAUGAGGCAGAAGGUGACUUUUGGACCACAGUGACCCGGUUAAACAGGGAGAAGCUGGAAAACUCUAAGAACGUCUCAAGCUGAGAGAGAGAUUGAGAGCAUGCAAGCAAGCGAGGAAGGGGCAGAGAAAGAGGGAG